rnacentral:rRNA from 1 species
CUAGCCGUAAACGAUGGAUACUAGGCGUUGUGAGUAUCGACCCUCACAGUGUCGUAGCUAACGCGUUAAGUAUCCGCCUGGGGAGUACACGCGCAAGCGUGAAACUCAAAGGAAUUGACGGGGGCCCGCACAAGCGGUGGAGUAUGUGGUUUAAUUCGAUGCAACGCGAAGAACCUUACCAGGACUUGACAUGUCGCGAAUCUCAGGGAAACUUGAGAGUGCCUUCGGGAGCGCGAACACAGGUGGUGC